UCAGCCAGAAGAACUCUCUCAGACGGACACCACGUUAUUAAAGUCCAUCAUCCUUGCAUGCGCUACACACUCAAAAGCAUUGAUAAAUGCUGAAUUUAAAAGAAUCACUACUGUCUUAUGUUCCUGCGUGUCACCUGGACCUCCAAUCCAAAAACCUGACGAAACUCUUCUAUCAGAAAGGAGGACAGCUAGCAAAAAGACUUCAAACAAUGAAUGAUCAAAUGACAGAAGGCAUGGAUGAAGUCAGCAACAGUGUGGUCAUUUGAAGACACCACUGUUGGGAUUUGUGCUCUCAAACAACAUGUUUCUUGUGAUGAAGAAGAGGAUCUUUGUAUAGUCCUGGAAGGCAUGAAGGUGUUGCAACAUCGUGCCAUGUUGUUUGAGCUGAUGUAUGCCUUAAACCUGAGCUAUCCUGAUCUCUGCUUUAUUUUUGAAGAAAUCCAAAAUAUUUUAAUGGAACUGCAUUGAGCGUAACUUUAACGAACUGUUUCUUUCAGUGAAAGGAUCAGAAAGACUGUGCUGCUCAUUUAUGUUCUUUUUAUUUAUCUGUUUUAAGUGUUUUUUCUUAUUAAAACAUUAACCGUUUGCUGCUCAGAGUUGAUUUUGGAAAUGGUUGUUGUAUUUUGUUUUUUUUGAAUCUUUGAUUAUCAGUUUAUGCAAAUGCUUUAGCUCUGACUUUCUGAAGGAUUGAUAUAUUCCAGUUUGUAAAUCCAUUUAAAAAAUAAUAGUACUUACUGUUUUGCAUGUCUCUUUGGAAUGCAGUGUUUGUGUUUUAGCACUUCUAAAUCUACUGUGAUAGUAACUAUUUUAAACAUUUGGGUCAGUUUUACAGAUGGGGCUUUUUCUAGUCCCAGACUUUUGCAAUGCCUUAAUUUGAAAACAUAUUGCACUGACAUAUCUUGACAUAUAUCAGUGCCAUUGUUUUGUCUCAAGAUGUACUCCAGUGUUGUUUUUGUAAGGUAGGUUUGUUUGUAAACUUUUUUUUGUAAAAAAUAUCCUAAUAUAACUAGGGCCUAGUCAUGGCUUAAUCCACAACCUGUCUGGGAAAUUGCCCCUUUGUAUGUACUGCAUGUGCUGAUUGUUGUAAUAGUUAUUGACUGUUGUUGAAUUAAUGUGUAGUGAUUUAAAUGAAUUGAUGAUCUGAAAGCAGUGGUUUGCCUCAAUAUCACUAAACAUUUGUUCAAAACUCUUUGCUUUUUAUGCCAAUGCAAAUGUAUUUUGUAUUUAAAAAAUAAAUAAAUAACAUUUGGAUAAUUAUGGGUAAUUAUUCUGGUGCCAGAGACAUAAUGAAAUUGCUUUAGAGUUACAUAAUCCCAUAAUAUAAGCAUUAAAAAAGCAUGUUGGAAUUACAGAUGAAAAUCUAGUCCCCUUACAUAAUAAAAUUACUUAAACAUUACAAAAUAAAUGUGUUAUAGUAAAGAGAAAUAGCACUUUGAGUCAACAUAUUUAUAUUAGACCACUUAAAACAAUUAAAAUGUUUUGGUCUGACACAUAAAAAUUAAAUGAGGAAAAUUAUGUUGGUUUUACACAAUCGGAUUAUGUGGGACCGAUGUACA